ACAAAAGCUGCUUCAUGAACUCACCGAGCACCAGAAGAUGGCGGCGGAUCCGGCAGACACUCCGACGAGUCCCGAGGCUCCUCGUUUCGCACCUUCAAAGAAAAUGUGUCCUCAGUUUGUGUUGUGCCCAACCUCUGAUGGAUUAAAAGCCUUCGAAAGUGACUCCUCAG